UGGGGAAUAUUGGACAAUGGGCGAAAGCCUGAUCCAGCAAUACCGCGUGUGUGAAGAAGGCCUGUGGGUUGUAAAGCACUUUCGGCAGUGAGGAAGGUUAUGCUGUUAAUAGUAGUAUAGCUUGACGUUAAUUGCAGAAGAAGCACCGGCUAACUCUGUGCCAGCAGCCGCGGUAAUACAGAGGGUGCAAGCGUUAAUCGGAAUUACUGGGCGUAAAGAGUACGUAGGCGGAAAAGUAAGUCAGAUGUGAAAUCCCCGGGCUUAACCUGGGAAUUGCGUCUGAUACUGUUUUUCUUAGAGUAUGGUAGAGGGCAGUGGAAUUUCUGGUGUAGCGGUGAAAUGCGUAGAUAUCAGAAGGAACACCAGUGGCGAAGGCGACUGUCUGGACCAAUACUGACGC
rnacentral:rRNA from 1 species